rnacentral:rRNA from 1 species
UACGUAGGGGGCAAGCGUUGUCCGGAAUCAUUGGGCGUAAAGAGCGUGUAGGCGGCCCGAUAAGUCCGCUGUGAAAGUCCAGGGCUCAACCCUGGAAUGCCGGUGGAUACUGUCGGGCUCGAAUCCGGAAGAGGUGAGUGGAAUUCCUGGUGUAGCGGUGAAAUGCGCAGAUAUCAGGAGGAACACCAAUGGUGAAGGCAGCUCACUGGGACGGUAUUGACGCUGAGACGCGAAAGCGUGGGGAGCAAACAGG